rnacentral:rRNA from 1 species
GACGUAGGGCGCAAGCGUUGUCCGGAAUUAUUGGGCGUAAAGAGCUCGUAGGCGGUCUGUUGCGUCCGCUGUGAAAACUCGGGGCUUAACCCCGAGCCUGCAGUGGAUACGGGCAGACUAGAGGUAGGUAGGGGAGAAUGGAAUUCCCGGUGUAGCGGUGAAAUGCGCAGAUAUCAGGAGGAACACCGGUGGCGAAGGCGGGUCUCUGGGCCGAUACUGACGCUGAGGAGCGAAAGCGUGGGGAGCGAACAGG